rnacentral:misc_RNA from 1 species
AUCAGUAUCGAGGUCCCCCAAAGGACUAAGAAACAGAGCACAGACGCCCAUCACGGGCAAUGUGUAUAACCACUUGUUGAAACACUUUGCGUCUGCUUUGGCUGCUCCCUUUGCGGGUUAAAACCGCGAGGGGUGAUAAGGCGGCCGGUAGCAUUUAAUAAAACUAGUUGAUGAAAUGUCAUGCCGUCUGAUACUGUUUAGUAUUUGAGAAAUCGAAUUACUAUUA